rnacentral:rRNA from 1 species
UUCAGAGGUCUCGAGCGUUGUUCGGAUUUACUGGGCGUAAAGGGAGCGUAGGCGGCCGGGUGUGUCGAAUGUGAAAGCCCACAACUCAACUGCGGAAUGGCAUUCGAAACUACCUGGCUAGAGUACUGGAGAGGAGAGCGGAAUUCUUGGUGUAGCGGUGAAAUGCGUAGAUAUCAAGAGGAACACCGGUGGCGAAGGCGGCUCUCUGGACAGAUACUGACGCUGAGGCUCUAAAGUUAGGGGAGCAAACAGGAUUAGAUA